GAUCAUAGACAGGUUAGGGUUAUGGUUAUGGUUAGGUUUGGGGGUUAUAGUUAGGUAGAACAAAUCCAUUUCCGGUGGUGAUUGGGCAGCGACACCAAGGGUUAGGGUUAGGCAGGGCUGUAGUGGAGGCUAAACGCACGUAAACGCAGUUUACCCACCUCUGAAAUUUCAGAAACAGAGUUUAUCCACUUCUCACUUCAGAGUUUAGCUACCUCCCAACACAGUAAAUGCACUACCCUUGGUUGCGAAUCACUGAUCUAAGUAUUCAUAGUUUACCCACCUCUUAUUUCACCACUACACCCUUGGGGUUAGGCCUUCCUUCGUUUUCGUUUACCUGGGUCCCAUCGGUCACGGCAGAUGCCUCCCCGCCACGCCGGAGAACGCCAGGGGCCUGCAGCGAAAUGCUCCGAGUUGUAUGAGUAAGUUGGGGUGGACAUUUUUCGAAUAGUUUUGUUGUCACUGCUGACAGUGAACACAGAUUUUCCAAUUCGAAGGAUGGGAAUACGUCGUGAAGGUAAAAGCACAGCCCCAGUGCCGGUGGGCGUUAAUGCUCGGUUCCGUGUUUAUUAAACACAAUGCCUAGUCAGUAGGCCUAACACUUGUGCAGUCAUUAACACUAUCCCACUUCUUAUUUAGACUUUACCUUUUUCAAAUUUCAAUACAUUUGAACUGAGCUUAACAUUUUAAGUUGUAUAUUUUGAGGAUGUUUGCCUUUAGAAUUAAUGUUGGGCAACCCUAAAACCCCAAACCCCAAAUAUCUAUCUUAACUCUCUCUUUUAGUAUUUUCCUAUUUUUUUUUCAAGAGGCUAAUGGAUGAUUUGCAAACCGUGGCAAAAAAAAAGGCAAGUGAUGUUCAGCACGUUCUAAGAUGAGUUACUGAGGCCCUUGAUGAUUCAAAUGUAUUCGCUAACUUGAUGAGUCAGGUUUCAGUUAGUGUAGGCCUACCAGAAGUAGGCUACCAGACGUGGCUGCCAGCCUUCGUAAUGGAAGUCAGUUACUGAUGGGGGGGUUCGGAAGGACCUGGUGUUGACGAAUCACUGAACACCUCCACCUUGAAGAAAAUGCAAAUAUAUGCAGUUCGUCCGACAUGUCUUGACCUGCACCGUACUCAUGGGCUAGUGGGAGAGUCUGUGCAGAUCACCGACUCGUCUGGUCACCCAGGAGCAAUGGGGAUGUCCAAUCAUACCUUUACCCCAGGUCUGUACUAGUCAGUUAGUUAUACUCAGGGUUGGAAGCUUCACUGGCUGUAUGGUUGAUCUCUUUGUUGACAUGGAUAAGCAAGCUCUAUAGUAUGAAGUUUAGGUUUGUCAUGUAAGUGUAAAUUGUCACAGCUGUCCAAAUGUAUUUUAAAUCCUCAACCAUUAAAUAUAUGAAACCAACUUUACAUUUUUGCAUCCAUCCACUACAAAGCAUAAGGACACAAUGA
ensembl:lncRNA